UUGGACUUUACCUUUUCACACUUCCAGUCACAUUUUAAAAUUCAUUUCCUUUGUUCAAAACUUAAAUCUGAGACUGGGUCUACACUGCCCUAUAUCCCAGGAUCUAAUCCCAGAUUUUCGUUUUAUCCCAGAUUACAUGGCAGUGGGGACUCAUAUAAUCCAGUUUAAAUCAAAUAAUCUGGGAUCAGAUCCUACUUCAUCCUACAGGGGGAAGCAUCUGGUUUCCCCCCCAUUGAUUCAAAUGUAGCACAGGAAGCCUCCCAUGUUGCUGCCACCACAGAGGCAUACGCCAGCUCGUCUAUAGUUUUACAACGAUGUCCAGACAGAAAUAGUUCAAUGUCAUGGGAUGGAAGCCAGUGGGCUUCGUCGUAAAAUUAUAGAAGAUUCAGUGCAUGCUGCCAAAAGUAGCCCCGUCUGAUGAGGUCGUUGGUGGCAACUCAUUGACAAGGAUUCAUAUCCUUUUCCAGAGCACAAGAAAAAGAAGAAGGUCUUGAUGCUGAAGAAGAUGGCACCAAACACAUUCUCAUCUGCUGCUGUAGAGAGGACACAUCUCUAUCUGAAGGAUCGUCAGAAAGUUCCUAGAUUCAUCCAACCCAAGCCCAGCUUAAAGAUCCGAAGGGAGCAGAAAACUGUCUAUACACAGCUUUCAUCUGAACAGUCAGGUCACAUGAAAAACAAUGUAUCUCAUUGCAAUGGUCGUGCAGAAAACUGUGAUCAAGUUUAAAUUAUAAUUUAUAAUUCCAAUUAUAGUAAUUAGUUCUAACUUUGCACCUAUACCUAUAAAUUAGUCAUGCAAAUUUUAUGCAUUUUCAUAUCAUUUUUUAAUCCUCUUCUUUUGGUGAUUUAUAAGUGGUCACCCAUUCUGUACCAAGUUUCCAUUAAUUCUGUGUUAGUUGUCCAAUACAGAUCUUGUGGGCCAGACUUCUGUGAAGGAAGAAACAAUGUACUCCAUUUUAUUUGUUAGUUUAUCUUGUCCCCGACUCCAAAUAUUCAAAUGACACAUUUAAAAGUAAAAUAACUACAAGCCUUCCUGGAGGAACAAGAUAAGGAGAUAAUUAAUGAAGGGAUUAGAUACUACUGAACAGAAUAAUGCAAUCAAGGCAAAGAAUGAAACUAAGCCUUUUUGGCCCAUUACAGCCUCCAUAGAGUUGGGGUGGCGGAACCAUUAGAACAUGUAAUUAUUUAGUUCCUGAGCCUCAUAGAAAUUCCACUUGCAUAAAACUUAAAUAAACUCCACUGAAACUUUUCCAACUCCUAAUAAAAAUACAAUGUGAACCCAAUUCAUUGUUGGCCUAUGUCAGUAUUCUAGGAUAGGGGUAGGGUUGUCAGGUUUUCAAAAACUAUGUUAAGUAAUUUUGUUCCAUUUGUCCCAAGGGUCCUCAAACCUUUUACGACGAGGGCCGGUUGAUGGUCCCGCAGACUUGGGAGGCUGGACUAUAGUUUGAAAAAAAUGAACAAAUUCCUAGGUGUGCAUUUUAACCAACAUAAACUUAUUAGUAUGCCUAUGGAAAGGUUGAGCCUGCUUUUGACUGAUGGUAUAGUCAAGUUAAUUAGGAUUGUUGUUGUGUAGCUUCAAAUCAUUUCAGACUUAUGGUGACCCAAAGUCUAAAGUUUAGGGUAGGGGUCGGGAAAAUGAUCUUUUGAGGGCCACAUCUGGCCAAUGGGCCUUAGUUUGGGGACCUCUGAUUUAUUCCAUACACCCUCACUUUUAUCCAAACAACAGUCCUGUGAAAUAGAUGGCAGUUGACUUAUAGUGACCAUAUCAGCUUUAUGGAAAAUUGGAAAUUAAACUUGAUAGUGCCAAUGUGGAAACUUGUUCAAUCUUAGAAUUGUAGAGUUGGAAAGAGUUGCAAGUCCCAUUUAAUCCAAUCCUGUGCCUGUGCGGCGAGCAAUGAUAUGGAUCUAACUCUAACUCAAGUACUGUAUUUCUUCAAUUCUAAGACACACCUUUUUCCUUUUUAAACAUCUCUAAAAUAAUGAAUUUGAUCAGAAUUACAAGGACUAAGGAAAAAUGCACACCUCUACAGUUUACAAAUAAUACUAUUACAUAUUAAAAACGUGUGUAAGUGCUUUCAAGUCACCUGUCAACUUAUAACUAACCAAUACAUUUCAUAGCAUUUUUAAGGCAAGGACUACUUGGAGAUGGUUUCACCAGUUCUGUACAGAAAGGUAAACAAACAUGUCUGACAGUGUUAAACAAAGUUAAACAAAACACAUUGGUGCAGUUAUUUCCUGAAAACCUGGUGGAAUAAGGAAGCUUUCACUUGCUUGAGGAAGAAGAGCAAGAAAGACACCUUUUUGGUUCCAAAAUCAAUUCUAACUGGUGGGAGCAACCACCAAAAAGACCUCCUGCCUUAUUCCCACUAGAUGUGCUUAGGAAGAUAACAGAAGAGAACAAUUUGGUCCUUCAGAUAGUCUGAAUCCAAGUCAUAAGUGUAUAUUGAGUCAAAAGGAGAACUAUUAUACCCAGAAAUGGACAAGCAACUGAGGCUAUUUCAGCAAAGGAGUUGGCUACCUGUAGCAAGCCCCAGUUAACAAUAUAGUUAAAAUUCUUUGGGAUAAUUGAUGUUUCUGAGCACUUUUCAAAGUUAAACAUAUUUGUUGCAACACAAUUACCAUAAUCCCCAGUUAGCUUGAGCAUUUUAGCAAGGUUGAGAAAACUGUAGGGGCAUGAGAAUUUGAAGGGAAAGAGUACUGUUCGGAAGAAGGGACAUGAUGUUGGAUAUAAGCCAUAACCCAAAGUAUUUCUGGGUAGUAUAUGAAGCAGCCUGCAUAAUUUGGCUCUUCCAUGGGAAAUAAAUUAGAACCAACAGUAGCCUGCCUUCCAUUUGAAAGACAAAAGGCCAGCACGUGUGACCAAGCAUGAAAUAUCAGAGCAUGGUCAAGAUGAAUAACGUUAUUAAUGAGGAAGAACACACAAACUAUGCGAAGUUAGAGCAGUUCACUUUUUCCUGAGUGUUCAGAGAAGGACAAGAUUCUCUUCUCUCAAUCCACUGAAUCAAUUAAGUUCAAACUAUUUUUUCAAUUUAAAGAGAAUUGCAGCAACUGAAUAAAGCUGGGGACAAAGGGGGGAAGUGGAAGGAAAGAGAAACCAAGACUUUUAAUAUCAGCUUGAAAAGGGGGAUAACAAAAAAUAAUAUGGCUUAUCUUUCUAAAUUGCGACAGUUGGAGGGUAUGUACAAGUCUCGCUUCAGUUUCGGAAUAGAUAAGGUUUCUCAGUACCAACAUUUAUGCCAAAGCACUGCGUUCAGUUUUGUGCUAGUGAAUAGUAACAACUUCUGCUUAUAAACACAGAUUUUGCUUAAUAGGAAAGUGUCAAGAAGUUGCACGGUCAGUUGAAUCUGUCAGGUCAUAUUAGUCUCAAUUUGUACUUUAAAAUUAUUAUUUUUAAUAAACUGAAGAAGUUUUGUCAUGGACUAUUUCUUUAAUUAAAUAGAUCAAAGGUCUUAAAGAGCAAAAACAAAAACAAAAAACACUGUAUAAUGUACAGCCAAAAGACCCAACAUAUAGAGUUUAGAAUUGGAUGGCAAUCAUAUUUUUCCAGUUGCUGAGCUUGAACUGCUAUAAAUCCUACAGCCUCUUGGACUGCAACUCCCACAAAUCUGUAGAGCAUGGCCAAUUAUGAGAUGUGCUAGGUGCUGCAGCUUGAUACAAUUUGGAUGGCCACCUGACCCCCACCACUAAUUUAGAACCUUGCAUAGAUUACUGAAAAUAUGAAGUGUCAUCCAGAUUUGAUUAAAGGCAUUGUGCAUCUCUUCUGCUGAAUGGCAUAGUAUCCUUAGGAUAGCAGAGCAGAAUUUUGUACAUGCUGACAGGUUUCCAGUCUCAUAUCAAGCCUUUAUAUUUACUUCUGUCAAUAUUUUCCCUGGAUGCAACAGUAGAUGUUGAAAGAAAAUAUUUUCCUUAUGUUUUCCUAAUUUGGAGUGUUCUCGUGACAAUAAAAAUUUUGGACAUGAAAAGGAGAGCAUAACAGAACAUGAAGCAUGUGCUUUAAAGAAUUAACUAAUCAGAGGACAAGCGCCAUUGGAAAAAUUAUUUAUUAUUUAUUUCCAUCAUUUCUAUCCCACCCUUCUCACCCGAGGGGACUCAGGGCAGCUUACAAGUCUGACAGAAUUUGAUGCCAAUACACCACAGUACAAUAAAAUUAAACAAUGAAACAGUUAAAACAGUUAAACAAAAUAACAAUAUGCAAUAUACAAAAUUUAAAAACAAUAUAAAGUAAUUGAACCAUUCAUCCACAAGACCUUGUACAUAAAUCUUAAUCCAGUCCGAGUCGAAGCCAACAGAACUUAUUCUUUAAACACUUGCAUGCACAGCCAGGUCUUCAAUUUCUUUCUGAAACCCAAAAGGGAUGGGGCCUGCCAAAUGUCACUAGGGAAGGUGUUCCACAGCCGAGGAGCCACUACUGAGAAGGCCCUGUCUCUCGUCCCCACCAGCCGUGCUUGCGAUGCAGGUGGGAUCGAGAGCAGGGACUCCCCAGAUGAUCUUAAGGUUCUCAUAGUCUCAUAGGAGGAGAUACGUUCGGACAGGUAAGUUGGACCAGAACCAUUUAGGCUUUGUAGGCCAAGACCAGCACUUUGAAUUGGGCUUGGUAGCAUAUUGGCAGCCAGUGGAGUUGACACAACAGAGGAGUGGUAUGCUCCCUGUACACCACUCCGGUUAUAAGCCUGGCUGCCGCCCAUUGUACUGAUUGAAGCUUCCGGGCCAUCUUCAAAGGCAGCCCCACGUAGAGCGCGUUGCAGUAAUCCAGGCGGAAUGUAACCAGAGCGUGGACCACCGUGGCCAA
ensembl:lncRNA